rnacentral:rRNA from 1 species
GAAUACCGGAUGUGCUCUACGGAGUAAAGAAGCCCUUAAAGCUUCGCUUAGAGAUGGGCCUGCGGCGCAUUAGCUAGUUGGUGAGGUAACGGCCCACCAAGGCGACGAUGCGUAGCCGAACUGAGAGGUUGAUCGGCCACAUUGGGACUGAGACACGGCCCAGACUCCUACGGGAGACAGCAGUUAGGAAUAUUCGUCAAUGGGGGAAACCCUGAACGAGCAAUGCCGCGUGAGUGAUGACGGUCCUCCGGAUUGUAAAACUCUGUUGUUUAGGAAAAAUGUACAAACAGGAAAUGGUUUGUGCUUGAUGGUACUAUUCAAGAAAGCCACGGCUAACUACGUG